rnacentral:lncRNA from 1 species
GCGGGGAGCCCGGGCGGUGCGCGCGCGAACCCCGUCCUGUACAUGCGGGAGACUGAGGCCCGGGCGGGAGGCAGGGCCUGGCCGGAGCGGCGCAGCGGGAUCGCGGCCGGGUGACCCCACAUCCGCGGCGUUCCCGACCCGAGAGGCCGCGAGGAUCCCAGGUGGGAUCCCUAAGCCCGGAUUAUAUCUGUCCAAGAUGCGAGUCUGGUUUUAUCGAGGAGCUUCCGGAAGAGACCAGGAGCACAGAAAAUGGUUCUGCCCCCUCCACAGCUCCCACAGACCAGAGCCGGCCACCGUUGGAGCACGUGGACCAGCACCUGUUCACGCUGCCGCAGGGCUACGGACAGUUUGCUUUCGGCAUCUUCGAUGACAGCUUCGAGAUCCCCACGUUCCCUCCUGGGGCGCAGGCUGACGACGGCAGGGACCCUGAGAGCCGGCGGGAGAGAGACCAUCCGUCCCGGCACCGGUACGGCGCCCGACAGCCCCGCGCCCGCCUCACCACGCGGCGGGCCACCGGCCGGCACGAAGGCGUCCCCACGCUGGAAGGG